rnacentral:rRNA from 1 species
GACGAACGCUGGCGGCGUGCUUAACACAUGCAAGUCGAACGGUUCAUUCUGGGCAUCUGGAAUGGAUAGUGGCGGACGGGUGAGUAACGCGUGGGUAACCUACCCAUAAAACUGGGACAACUCUGGGAAACUGGAGCUAAUACCGGAUACGCUUAUCGGGCGGCAUCGCCUGGUGAGGAAAGGUGGCCUCUGAAAAUGCUGCCGAUUAUGGAUGGACCCGUGUCUGAUUAGCUAGUUGGCAGGGUAGCGGCCUACCAAGGCGACGAUCAGUAGCCGGCCUGAGAGGGUGGCCGGCCACACUGGGACUGAGACACGGCCCAGACUCCUACGGGAGGCAGCAUG